GGGAGGGAGAAGAGUCCACACUGCCUGCCUGAGGGCUUAGCUCUCCCUGCCCUGGACCCCUAGGUGGAAAGGCCAGGCAACAAGAGACAAAGUUUGCAUCACUAAAUUGCCUAAUCUGGCCUCAAACUUGGCAUCCUCCUGCUUCAGCCUCUUGACUAGGUACAUGUAUGUACCACUAUGCAUGGUGCCUUUGUCUUUUCAUGUUUAUCAUUUAUAUACUCAUUUUCCUAUAAACUGCAAUAUAUGCCAAAAAACGAAUUAUGUAAGUGAAUCAUCCUGCUUUUGGAAAGGGAAAAAAUGAAGCCCUGAUAAUCAGAAGCCCAAAAGAGGGUUAAGACAAGCCUAAAAAACAGGCUCCUCUCUAAGGAGCCAUAAAGCCAGGGAUUCCACUUGUGGAGACUUAAAGACCUGUGGCAUUGUUCAUCCUCUGACUGUUAGGCAGAAGGGGUCCAGGGUCCUGAGUCCAUUCCCACACCACCGGUCCUGUACCCCAUGUGCAUCCAGCUCUCUACACCAGCUCAGGGAUGGAGAGAGAAGUGACUUGGCCUCCAGCACAGAGACUGCUCUCGGUUCUUUCCCUCGAUGUCCGCUCAGAGAUGACCUUCAAAAAUAAGACUUGCCAGCUGUGGUGCUGCACACCCAUAAUCCAGUGCUCAUGAGGCCAUGCUGGGAGUGGUGGUGCACUUGGGAGGCUGAAGCAGGAAAACCGCCACGAGUUCAAGGCCACUCUGAACUAUAUAGCAAGACUCUGUCUCAAAAAUAAAUAAAUAUAAAAAACAAUUCUCAAUAUGACUGUCCCUGCCUUUACCCUGACAGAUUCAGAACCUGCGGCUAGCCUUAGUGCAAAUUGGAAGACAGUGCCCCCUACUGGUGAACGCAGCCUAGCGGGUUCAGGGCUUCUCCACCUGGCUAUAGGCUGCAUUUCAGGCCUUACUCCCCAUCAAGGUGAGCAAAGUUCUCUGCACAGCCGCCCUCCUACAACAGUGAUGGCGUAGCUUUUAGAGACGCGGGCCCAAACUGCAACCCCAGACCCACUGAUUUACCGCAAAAUGCCAACACCGCAAUUAAAUCUGAACGUGGAGAUUUUAGUCUAGAAAAAGCAACU